AAUUGUCAAUGUCAUUCUCAUUUUAUUAAUUAGAUAAUGUCAUUGAAUUAAUUUACUGAUUUUGUAUGUUUUCUGUUUACCUUCAGUAUUUUUUGAACCGAAUUAUAAUUUUUCAAACCACAGCUAUAAUAUAAAUAAAACUUGCACGAAGUUAAAUUCGAAAUUCGAAUAAUGUUGACCCUGAACCGGAAAAAUUGCAAGUUUAUUUCAGCUCUCAGAUGUAAAUACAAGAGGACAUUUACGCUGCAUUAAUCAAUUUAUCCAGCGUCAUCCCAAGUUUGUCAAAAUUGCUGGAAAACGACUGAUAAAGCAGCAUCUUGCUCAACUGAAGAACUGAAAAUAAUUAUGUAAUAGCGACAAACACUCCAAAUCAAUGUUGUUUUCCUCGCUGUAAUAAUUCCAACAGGCUAACUGUUAUGAACUAUAUAGGUAGGUACAUCUAUUUUGUCAAUUUAAUUAUUAUGUGCCUCAUUAGUAUUGUUUUCUCUUACAAUCAAUAUACAAUACAAUCUUGAACCAUUUUACAAAUUGAAGAUUUUGCUUCAUUAUUAAAAAUAAUAUGAGUAUGUAUAAUAAUCAUUUAGAUUAAGAAAAUAUUUAACACACACCAUACAGUUUAUCUAUGUCUUGGCUUAACAGAAACAUUUAAAUUAAAUUAUAAAACACAAACAACAGUCGGGACAAUUCAUUUAUUUACAGUGCUUGUAAACUAAGCCUUGGUUUUGCAAACAAGCACUUUUGAAAUAAUAAGGUUGACUAUUUGUCCAUCUCCAGACAGACAGACAGACCUCAUCACCAGAUAGGCAGACAAGUUCUGCUGAGGAGAGUCAGCAAGAAACUCAACAGUCACUCUUUUUUAGAAAAGUAAUACAAUAUUAUAAUUUACAAUUGUUAACAUCAUUACAAUAAUUUCUUCUAGUAGAAGCUGAUCCAAUGGCCUCCAAGUAGUGGCGUGCACUUCAUACAUGCAUUAAAGUACUGCAUAUCCUAAGAGUUGUCUUCAUUAGUAAAUACAGAUUUUUCCACUUUGCUUAAUUUUAUUACUAGUGCAUACCCUGAUCGACAACCAUAUGCACGCCACUGCCUGGUUGGUUGGUUGUUUCAUUUAUUGAUUUAUUUGUUAAGCUUGUUGGUUACAUAAAACAAUAAAUCUAUUCAUGUACAGCUUUAAUGUUACUUCAUCUCCGGUGUACUUUUUGAGCAGUGAGAGUGAUAAAAUAAAAUAUUUUUUUUUAUG